rfam:Ruminococcus sp. CAG:563 genomic scaffold, scf102
GAAAUCUUUAAGAGCGAUACAGAGAUGUCGACAAGGUUUUGAAUAAUGGACGAUAGGGCAUAUGCCCUGUGUUUUUGUGUGUCUGAAUCAAAGAACCUUGUUAUAGACAGGGUUCUUUUUUGUU